rnacentral:rRNA from 1 species
GAUGAACGCUGGCGGCGUGCUUAACACAUGCAAGUCGAACGGAAAGGCCCUGUUUCUGUUGUGUGUUCGAGGUGCGAGCGUGGGAGACACGCGAGUGUCACCUGCGUUAUACUUUGGCAUCUUGUGUAUAAACUUGGGAUACUAGGUCAUAUUAGCUCCUGCUCUGCGGGGUGGUUUGUGUGGUGGAGGCGGAUGUUCUGGCGGUUGGGGAUGAACUCGGGGGUUAUGAGCUUGUCGGUGGGGUAGUGUCUUACCAAGGCUGCGACGGGUAGCCGGCCGGAGAGGGUGGACGGCCACACUGGGCCGGAGAUACGGCCCAGACUCCGACGGGAGGCAGCAGUGGGGAGUAGAGCACAAUGGGCGGAAGGCUGAGGCAGCAAUGCCGCGUGCGGGAUGGCGGACUCCGGGUGGUAAACCGCUUUCGCCUGUGACGAAGCGUGAGUGACGGUAAUGGGUAAAGAAGCACCGGCUAACUACGUG